GUUUUUCGCUUGAGGAUGAGUCCGCGUGAGAUUAGCUAGUUGGUGAGGUAAUGGCUCACCAAGGCAACGAUCUCUAACUGGUCUGAGAGGAUGAUCAGUCACACUGGAACUGAGACACGGUCCAGACUCCUACGGGAGGCAGCAGUAGGGAAUAUUGCACAAUGGAGGAAACUCUGAUGCAGCGACGCCGCGUGAGUGAUGAAGGCCUUAGGGUCGUAAAGCUCUGUCGCAGGGGAAUAAAAAAAUG
rnacentral:rRNA from 1 species